rnacentral:lncRNA from 1 species
GGCGUUAGGUGUAGGGUGGGUUCUAGGGUUUCAACUCUAGAUUUUGUGGGAAGAAAAUGCAAGAGUACAUCUUGUUCUAUCUCCCACACCAUCAUCUUCUUGUAAAGCUUCAUCUUCUAAUCUGGAGGAGCCCAAGAGAUCUAAAGAAAGGAGCUUGGAUCAGCCAUCCAGAGCCUUCAAUGCGAGCUAGCACUCCCAUGAAGAAAGAUCCGAUCAGGGCUUCGAG